GCCUUUAGUUCUUUCUUUUUUGGUAAUAUAUUUAUUUUUCGUUACGAUUUGGUCAAAACCCUAGAUUUGUUUUCCAAAAGCAUAUCUGAAAAUGAAGGACAACUUUCCUCUUCUCCUUCGGUUAUAAAUAUUCUCUCCGGUUUUGCUUGUUUAACCUAAAAGCCUCAGAUCUAACUCCAACACCUUCAAAGUCUGCCUCCUUUCCAAUCUUCUUUCUUCUGUUCGAUCUCUAAUCUCAGAAUUUGUGUCGGUAAGGUAAAGGUGAUAAUGAGUGAUGACUGAUGAGGGAGUUUUGGGACAAAUUUUAAGAGAAACGC
rnacentral:misc_RNA from 1 species